rnacentral:rRNA from 1 species
UACGGGGGGGGCAAGCGUUGUUCGGAAUUACUGGGCGUAAAGGGCUCGUAGGCGGCCAACUAAGUCGGACGUGAAAUCCCUCGGCUCAACCGAAGAACGUCGGCCGAUACUGCCGUUCUUGAGGGAUGCAGAGGAGAUUGGAAUUCCCGGUGUAGCGGUGAAAUGUGUAGAGAUCGGGAGGAACACCAGUGGCGAAGGCGGCUUUCUGGAUCAAUACUGACGCUGAGGUGCGAAAGCGUGGGGAGCAAACAGG